rnacentral:rRNA from 1 species
CCUAAGCCGAGGCCGAAAGGCGUAGGCGAUGGACAACAGGUUGAUAUUCCUGUACCACUACCAUCGUUAUUAUCGAGGGUGUGACGGAGAAGGAUAGUGUGUGCUAGCGAUUGGAAAUGCUAGUCUAAGCGUUUAGGCAGUUACGGUAGGCAAAUCCGCUGUAACGUUAAUGCUGAGGCGUGAUGGGGAAGGCCCUUGAGGCUGAAGUACAUGAUUCCAUGCUUCCAAGAAAAGCAUCUAGAGAGAGAAGUAGUGCCCGUACCGCAAACCGACACAGGUAGAUGAGGAGAGAAUCCUAAGGCCGGCGGAAGAAUUGCAGUUAAGGAACUAGGCAAAUUGACCCCGUAAGUUAGCGAGAAGGGGUGCCUGCGAGAGCAGGCCGCAGAGAAUAGGCCCAAGGAACUGUUUAGCAAAAACACAGGUCUCUGCUAAAGCGCAAGCUGAUGUAUAGGGGCUGACGCCUGCCCGGUGCUGGAAGGUUAAGGGGAACACUUAGCGCAAGCGAAGGUGUGAACUUAAGCCCCAGUAAACGGCAGCCGUAACAAUAACGGUCCUAAGGUAGCGAAAUUCCUUGUCAGGUAAGUUCUGACCCGCACGAAUGGCGUAAUGACUUGGGCACUGUCUCAACUGCAAAUCCGGCGAAGUUGUAGUGCGAGUGAAGAUGCUCGCUACCCGCGAUUGGACGGAAAGACCCCGUAGAGCUUUACUGUAGCUUAGCAUUGAAUUCCGGUAUUGUCUGUACAGGAUAGGUGGGAGACUGGGAAACUAGGGCGUCAGCCUUAGUGGAGUCGUCCUUGGGAUACCACCCUGACAGUACUGGGGUUCUAACAGGACGCCAUGAAUCUGGUGACUGGACAUUGUUAGGUGGGCAGUUUGACUGGGGCGGUCGCCUCCUAAAAAGUAACGGAGGCGCCCAAAGGUUCCCUCAGAACGGUCGGAAAUCGUUCGUAGAGUGCAAAGGCAGAAGGGAGCCUGACUGCGAGACCUACAAGUCGAGCAGGGACGAAAGUCGGGCUUAGUGAUCCGGUGGUACCUCGUGGGAGGGCCAUCGCUCAACGGAUAAAAGCUACCUCGGGGAUAACAGGCUGAUCUCCCCCAAGAGUCCACAUCGACGGGGAGGUUUGGCACCUCGAUGUCGGCUCGUCGCAUCCUGGGGCUGUAGUAGGUCCCAAGGGUUGGGCUGUUCGCCCAUUAAAGCGGCACGCGAGCUGGGUUCAGAACGUCGUGAGACAGUUCGGUCCCUAUCCGUCGCGGGCGUAGGAAAUUUGAGAGGAGCUGUCCUUAGUACGAGAGGACCGGGAUGGACUGACCUCUGGUGCACCAGUUGUUCUGCCAAGAGCAUGGCUGGGUAGCUAAGUCGGGAAGGGAUAAACGCUGAAGGCAUCUAAGCGUGAAGCCUCCCUCAAGAUGAGAUUUCCCAUAGCAUAAGCUAGUAAGACCCCUUGAAGAACACGAGGUUGAUAGGUCAGAGGUGUAAGUGUGGUAACAUAUUUAGCUGACUGAUACUAAUAGGUCGAGGGCUUGAUC